rnacentral:rRNA from 1 species
GUGAGUUGCGAACGGGUGAGUAACGCGUAGGUAACCUGCCUGGUAGCGGGGGAUAACUAUUGGAAACGAUAGCUAAUACCGCAUAAGAACAUUUACUGCAUGGUAGAUGUUUAAAAGGUGCAAGAGCAUCACUACCAGAUGGACCUGCGUUGUAUUAGCUAGUUGGUGAGGUAACGGCUCACCAAGGCAACGAUACAUAGCCGACCUGAGAGGGUGAUCGGCCACACUGGGACUGAGACACGGCCCAGACUCCUACGGGAGGCAGCAGUAGGGAAUCUUCGGCAAUGGGGGGAACCCUGACCGAGCAACGCCGCGUGAGUGAAGAAGGUUUUCGGAUCGUAAAGCUCUGUUGUUAAGGAAGAACGUGUGUGAGAGUGGAAAGUUCACACAGUGACGGUACUUAACCAGAAAGGGACGGCUAACUACGUGCCAGCAGCCGCGGUAAUACGUAGGUCCCGAGCGUUGUCCGGAUUUAUUGGGCGUAAAGCGAGCGCAGGCGGUUAGAUAAGUCUGAAGUGAAAGGCAGUGGCUCAACCAUUGUAGGCUUUGGAAACUGUUUAACUUGAGUGCAGAAGGGGAGAGUGGAAUUCCAUGUGUAGCGGUGAAAUGCGUAGAUAUAUGGAGGAACACCGGUGGCGAAAGCGGCUCUCUGGUCUGUAACUGACGCUGAGGCUCGAAAGCGUGGGGAGCGAACAGGAUUAGAUACCCUGGUAGUCCACGCCGUAAACGAUGAGUGCUAGGUGUUAGGUCCUUUCCGGGACUUAGUGCCGCAGCUAACGCAUUAAGCACUCCGCCUGGGGAGUACGACCGCAAGGUUGAAACUCAAAGGAAUUGACGGGGGCCCGCACAAGCGGUGGAGCAUGUGGUUUAAUUCGAAGCAACGCGAAGAACCUUACCAGGUCUUGACAUCCCUCUGACCACUCUAGAAAUAGAGUUUCCCUUCGGGGCAGAGGUGACAGGUGGUGCAUGGUUGUCGUCAGCUCGUGUCGUGAGAUGUUGGGUUAAGUCCCGCAACGAGCGCAACCC